rnacentral:rRNA from 1 species
UACGUAGGGUGCAAGCGUUGUCCGGAAUUAUUGGGCGUAAAGAGCUCGUAGGCGGUCUGUCGCGUCUGCUGUGAAACUCAGGCUUAACCUGAGCUUGCAGUGGUACGGCAGACUAGAGUGCGGUAGGGAGACUGAAUCCUGGUGUAGCGUGAAUGCGCAGAUAUCAGGAGGAACACGAUGCGAAGCAGCUCGCUGGACGGUACUGACGCUGAGCGCGAAGCGUGGGAGCAACAG